UAAUACUUUCAGCAACGGAUGUCUUGGUUCCACAACGAUGAAGGACGCAGCAAAGUGCGAAAAGCAGUGUGAAUUGCGGAAUUCUAUGAACCAUCAGAUUUUCUGAACGCA
rnacentral:rRNA from 1 species